GCUUACGGCCAUACCACCCUGAGCACGCCCGAUCUCGUCUGAUCUCGGAAGCUAAGCAGUGUCGGGCCUGGUUAGUACAUUGAUGGGAGACCGCCUGGGAAUACCAGGUGCUGUAAGCU
rnacentral:rRNA from 1 species